AAUAAAUGCCACACGAUCAAUUCAUUGUAAUACAAUGUAUUUAAAUUAAAUACAUUGUAUUACAAUGAAUUGAUCGUGUGGCAUUUAUAAUUUAAUU
rnacentral:miRNA from 1 species